rnacentral:rRNA from 1 species
AUGAGGGGAACUCAGGGAACUGAAACAUCUAAGUACCUGAAGGAAGAGAAAGAAAUUCGAUUCCGUAAGUAGCGGCGAGCGAACGCGGAUUAGCCCAAACCAAUAAAGUUUUCUUUAUUGGGGUUGCGGACAUAUCAUAACGAAGAGGUAUCGUAAUUGAAGAGGUUUGGAAAGAUCCACCACAGAAGGUAAUAGUCCUGUAUGUUAAACGAGAAGACUUUAGAUAUGAUCCAGAGUACCACGGG